AGAGUUUGAUCAUGGCUCAGAGUGAACGCUGGCGGCGUGCCUAACACAUGCAAGUCGAACGAGAACGGAACUAGCUUGCUAGUUUGUCAGCUAAGUGGCGCACGGGUGAGUAAUAUAUAGUUAAUCUGCCCCAAAGAAGAGAAUAAUUGUUGGAAACGACUUGUAAAUCUCUAUAUGCCUUUAUUACAUAAGUAAGCAAGGGAAACAUUUAUGGCUUUGGGAUGAGACUGUACGGUAUCAGUUUGUUGGUGAGGUAAUGGCUCACCAAGACUAUGACACCUAACUGGUUUGAGAGGAUGAUCAGUCACACUGGAACUGAGACACGGUCCAGACUCCUACGGGAGGCAGCAGUGGGGAAUAUUGCACAAUGGAGGAAACUCUGAUGCAGCAACGCCGCGUGGAGGAUGACACAUUUCGGUGCGUAAACUCCUUUUAUAUGAGAAGAUAAUGACGGUA
rnacentral:rRNA from 1 species